rnacentral:rRNA from 1 species
GGGCACGUAGGCGGAGAGGUAAGUUGGUGGUGAAAGCCUCCGGCUCAACCGGAGAAUUGCCUCCAAAACUGCCUUUCUGGAGUGCAGGAGGGGAGAGUGGAACUCUUGGUGGAGCGGUGAAAUGCGUUGAUAUCAAGGGGAACGCCGGCGGCGAAAGCGACUCUCUGGCCUGCUACUGACGCUGAGGUGCGAAAGCUAGGGGAGCAAACGGGAUUAGAUACCCCGGUAGUCCUAGCCGUAAACGAUGGGCACUAAGUAGAGGGGUUU